rnacentral:rRNA from 1 species
AUUGAACGCUGGCGGCAUGCCUUACACAUGCAAGUCGAACGGUAACAGGUCCUCGGAUGCUGACGAGUGGCGAACGGGUGAGUAAUACAUCGGAACGUGCCUAGUAGUGGGGGAUAACUACUCGAAAGAGUGGCUAAUACCGCAUGAGAUCUACGGAUGAAAGCAGGGGAUCGCAAGACCUUGUGCUACUAGAGCGGCCGAUGGCAGAUUAGGUAGUUGGUGGGAUAAAAGCCUACCAAGCCGACGAUCGGUAGCGGGUCUGAGAGGACGAUCAGCCACACUGGGACUGAGACACGGCCCAGACUCCUACGGGAGGCAGCAGUGGGGAAUUUUGGACAAUGGGCGAAAGCCUGAUCCAGCAAUGCCGCGUGCAGGAUGAAGGCGUUCGGGUUGUAAACUGCUUUUGUACGGAACGAAAAGCCCCGGGUUAAUACCCUGGGGUCAUGACGGUACCGUAAGAAUAAGCACCGGCUAACUACGUGCCAGCAGCCGCCGUAA